rnacentral:hammerhead_ribozyme from 1 species
GUACAGCUGACGAGUCCCAAACAGGACGAAAUAGCUGUUGUCCAGUGC